AACGAACGCUGGCGGCAUGCCUAACACAUGCAAGUCGAACGAGACCUUCGGGUCUAGUGGCGCACGGGUGCGUAACGCGUGGGAACCUGCCCUUAGGUUCGGAAUAACUCCCCGAAAGGGGUGCUAAUACCGGUUAAUGUCUUCGGACCAAAGAUUUAUCGCCUUUGGAUGGGGCCGCGUUGGAUUAGCUGGUUGGUAGGGUAAAAGCCUACCAAGGCGACGAUCCAUAGCUGGUCUGAGAGGAUGAUCAGCCACACUGGGACUGAGACACGGCCCAGACUCCUACGGGAGGCAGCAGUGGGGAAUAUUGGACGAUGGGCGAAAGCCUGAUCCAGCAAUGCCGCGUGAGUGAUGAAGGCCUUAGGGUUGUAAAGCUCUUUUACCCGGGAUGAUAAUGACAGUACCGGGAGAAUAAGCACCGGCUAACUCCGUG
rnacentral:rRNA from 1 species